CCUACGGGAGGCAGCAGUGAGGAAUAUUGGUCAAUGGGCGCGAGCCUGAACCAGCCAAGUAGCGUGAAGGCUGACUGCCCUACGGGUUGUAAACUUCUUUUAUAAAGAAAUAAAGUGAGGCCCGUGUGCCUUUUUGUUUGUACUUUAUGAAUAAGAAUCGGCUAACUCCGUUCCAUCAGCCGCGUUAAUACGGAGGAUCCGAGCGUUAUCCGGAUUUAUUGGGGUUAAAGGGAGCGUAGAUGGGUUGUUAAGUCAGUUGUGAAAGUUUGCGGCUCAACCGUAAAAUUGCAAUUGAGACUGGCAGUCUUGAGUACAGUUGAGGUAGGCGGAAUUCGUGGUGUAGCGGUGAAAUGCUUAGAUAUCACGAAGAACCCCGAUUGCGAAGGCAGCUUACUAAACUGUGACUGACAUUGAUGCUCGAAAGUGUGGGUAUCAAACAGGAUUAGAUACCCGAGUAGUC
rnacentral:rRNA from 1 species